GAACAGUUUCAUGAUGCAAUCCUUUGUUCUGUUUAGUAUUCCAUUUUUUUCCUUCAUUUAUUUUAUAGUAGUGUCUGAAUAAGUAAAAAAAAAAAAAUACGUGAAAUAUAUGAGUCACCAUUUUUUUUUUCUUUAGUUUUCCUCUUUCGAAAUUCGCAUGUAUCCUCCAUGAGGCAAAAAGACUCCUGGAAGCGCCGCAGAGACCGGACGCAAAUCAAACUCUCAGUCCAUUCUGUGCCACUCCUCCACCACAUUCAAAACACUUUAGGUCCCUGACGAUACACGAGUUUGUGUGUAUUUCUUUAAGGUUCGAGUGAUCGAAUAAAAAGAUCUACGCUGUUAAAGUGAGAAACACUCUUGAAAACCAGGCUGCUCAUCUCUGGGACCUUUGAAAAUUGGCGUGGCGAGACAGAUUAGCCGUCUGAGCGGUAAUACCCACGAUGCCUUUCAUGGAACGCUUCAGGAAGGAGCCAUGGAGGAAUAAGCUGUUCACGUGGAGGCGGGCGCUGGUGAUGUUACUCCUCAUGGGCUUCAUUCUCUUCGUCAGCGGCGCCGCGAUGCGCCUGCCGUGCAUACACAUCCACCAGAAUAUGAGUGACUCGUCAUCCACAACGCUGGCGUGCGUGACAGGAUUACAUGAGAAUAGCAGCGUUUUCCUCAAACACCCGCCUCCCCCUGGCAAGCGGUGCAUUCCCUUAGGUGGCGUCACGGAGGAGGGAAAGGAAUUCAUUCUCGCCUUCAUUGUAGAAAUGUUGUAAACAUUAGUAACAGAGGAGAAUAAGUAAAAAGAGACGAGGACCUUCUUUGUCUCACCCCUAUUCUGUCCACCUCUCUAAUGCAAGAGUUAACCAGUAUUCUCAAUCAUUCAUCCCUUUCUCUGGUAAACUCUGGAAUUCCCUGCCUGCUUCUGUAUUUCCACCUUCGUAUGACUUGAAUUUCUUCAAGAGGGAGGUUUCAACACACUUAUCCUUCAAUUUUUAACUACCCCUUUGGACCCUUUAAUGGGACUGGCAUCUUAGUGAGCUUUUUUUUUACUGAAUUUUUAUUACCCUUGGCCAGUGUCCCACUUACAUAGAAAAAAAAAAAUGUAAUAUGCGUAAUCUGAUGCAAUCUAAUGUAAUCAUCAAACUAAUAUGAUUCUAUGAUUCCACGCCUUGUCAAAGAGUAAAGGAACAACAACACACCUUUCUUUCCUUUCAUUCCCUCCUUCACACACCACCGCUGAUCCCCCGUGUGUGUGUGUGUGUGUGUGUGUGUGUGUGUGUGUGUGUGUGUGUGUGUGUGUGUGUGUGUGUGUGUGUGUGUGUGUGUGUGUGUGUGUGUGUGUUUCAAACAAUAAAUGA